rnacentral:piRNA from 1 species
UAGUACAGUAAUAGUACAAUAAUGGCUUUC